UAGCUCAGUUGGUAGAGCAGUUGACUUUUAAUCAAUUGGUCGCAGGUUCGAAUCCUGCACGACCCACCAAUCGUUCUGGUGGAACGCGAUAGUAAAACGUGAAGGAUAACGUUGCGACAGCAACGGCCCAUAGGGCGAGGCGAAGCCGAGUCAUCCUGCACGACCCACCA
rnacentral:sRNA from 3 species